ACGAAAAGGAGUAUUCGUACUCUUAAACCCUUUGUGAACCUUACCUAUCGUCAGUUGCUUCGGCGGGAGGCCCCUGGGAGGGGCCCCGGGGCCCGGGCCAGAGCCCGGGCUCCCGCCGGAGGAGCGCAAACCAAACUCUUGCUGUACCUCAGUGGAACAUCCGAGUUAAAACAAAUAAACAAGUUAAAACUUUCAACAACGGAUCUCUUGGUUCUGGCAUCGAUGAAGAACGCAGCGAAAUGCGAUAAGUAAUGUGAAUUGCAGAAUUCAGUGAAUCAUCGAAUCUUUGAACGCACAUGGCGCCCGCCAGCAUUCUGGCGGGCAUGCCUGUUCGAGCGUCAUUUCAACCACUCAGGCCCUGGUGCCUGGCGUCGGCGUAUUCUAGCUAGAAACGCCUAGAGACAGUGGCGGACCCGCCGCGGCUCCGAGCGCAGUAGUAAAAUAUCUCGCUUAGGGGUUCCGCGGGGGGGUUUCCCGGCCGUAAAAACCAUCUCUCACGAGAUAUUUCUCAAGGUUGACCUCGGAUCAGGUAGGAAUACCCGCUGAACUUAAGCAUAUCAAUAAGCGGAGGAAAAGAAACCAACAGGGAUUGCCCCAGUAACGGCGAGUGAAGCGGCAACAGCUCAGAUUUGAAAUCU
rnacentral:rRNA from 1 species